GAGGCCUGAUGGGGAAGCCGGGGCCACGACCCGAUGCUGCAGCCGGUCCAGUGCUGACCCCCGAGCUUCCCGACAGCCCAGGGAGGGGACACCUGCCGGGCCGUGCGGCUCUCGGCCUGAGAAGACGAGCAGAGGUCACCCAGAAGCUUUCCCGGAGGUUCUAACCCGCCACAGCACCGCAACUUCUCCCUCUCUCCUUCCUGUUGGGUCUCCCCCACAAAUCAAUUUCAAACGAACUCCACACAAGCCAGUUAAUUAUGUGGUCCCCCAGCAGGAGUUUCCGUGGCAGAUGAAGAAGAUGCGUUUCCUAUGACACUCACUCCAUCACGAGAGGAUCCUUUGCCCCCCCGCUGAAUCUGGGUAGGAUCUCUCACUGCUGUGACCAGAAGUACAGCAUGGUAGGGACAAGCCCAGGCCUUAAGAAAUCAGAGGAUGCUACUUGCUGUCUCCUGGGAGGCUCCCUCAGGGGAAAACCAGCUUCCCUGUUAAACGCCUGCCUAUCCUUGGAGGACGCCUCUAUCAGCCUAGGAGAGGCUGAGUGCAGAGAGAGCGGUGCCAGCCAGCCCAGCCCCGGGCCAUCUUGGACAUUCCAACUCCAGCCUCUCCACGUGGAGAAGAAGCAAAGCUACCGAAUCAGGAGCCCAGAGGAGCAGACCCAGCCAGCUCCAGCCCCGCAAGCCCCUCAAGGGAGACGCCAGCCGCAGUCUCUCCAAAUUCUAGAACCACAGAAUUGUAAGCGUCAUAAAAGGUCUGUCACUUCGCACCAUUAAA